rnacentral:misc_RNA from 1 species
GAUGAAGAACGUAGCGAAAUGCGAUAAGUAAUGUGAAUUGCAGAAUUCAGUGAAUCAUCGAAUCUUUGAACGCACAUUGCGCCCCUUGGUAUUCCGAGGGGCAUGCCUGUUCGAGCGUCAUAUUAACCACUCCCGCUUGCGGGGUCUUGGGCUUCGCCUCCGGGCGGGCCUUAAAAUCAGUGGCGGUGCCGUCGGGCUCUACGCGUAGUAAAUUUUCUCGCGAUAGGGUCCCGGUGGAUGCUUGCCAACAACCCCCAACUUCUUAAGGUUGACCUCGGAUCAGGUAGGGAUACCCGCUGAACUUAAGCAUAUCAAUAGCGGAGG